GUAGGUCCCGAGCGUUAUCCGGAUUUAUUGGGCGUAAAGCGAGCGCAGGCGGUUAGAUAAGUCUGAAGUUAAAGGCUGUGGCUUAACCAUAGUACGCUUUGGAAACUGUUUAACUUGAGUGCAGAAGGGGAGAGUGGAAUUCCAUGUGUAGCGGUGAAAUGCGUAGAUAUAUGGAGGAACACCGGUGGCGAAAGCGGCUCUCUGGUCUGUAACUGACGCUGAGGCUCGAAAGCGUGGGGAGCAAAC
rnacentral:rRNA from 1 species